rnacentral:misc_RNA from 1 species
UGGAUACUUUAGGCGAGGAGUCAUACAAGGAUAGUACAUUGAUCAUGCAACUUUUACGUGAUAACUUGACACUAUGGACCUCUGAUAUUACGGAGGAUGCUGGGGAUGAGAUUAAGGAGGCCCCGAAGCGGGAUUCGGGUGAGGGUCAGUGAUAUAGUAACGCGAGGAUCUCUUAAUUCAAAUCAAGUCGGCUGCAUUGCCAUGUUACCCAGGGGUGUGUUGUUUCUGUAGUAUAGAUGUUAGCCGUCGUUCACAUAUUCCUGGGA